AUUGAACGCUGGCGGCAGGCCUAACACAUGCAAGUCGAGCGAGCGGCGGGCGGGUGGGUAAUGUAUGGGGAUCUGCCCGAUAGAGGGGGGGAACUACUGGAAACGGUAGCUAAUACAGCAUACUAUCGGAUGGACCCAUAUGGGAUUAGCUAGUAGGUGAGGUAAUGGCUCACCUAGGCGACGAUCCCUAGCUGGUCUGAGAGGAUGUUCAGCCACACUGGAACUGAGACACGGCCCAGACUCCUACGGGAGGCAGCAGUGGGGAAUAUUGCACAAUGGGCGCAAGCCUGAUGCAGCCAUGCCGCGUGUGUGAAGAAGGCCUUCGGGUUGUAAAGCACUUUCAGCGAGGAGGCGUUACUCGCAGAAGAAGCACCGGCUAACUCCGUGCCAGCCGCCGCGGUAAUAC
rnacentral:rRNA from 1 species